rnacentral:rRNA from 1 species
GAUGAACGCUGGCGGCGUGCCUAAUACAUGCAAGUCGAGCGAACGGACGAGAAGCUUGCUUCUCUGAUGUUAGCGGCGGACGGGUGAGUAACACGUGGAUAACCUACCUAUAAGACUGGGAUAACUUCGGGAAACCGGAGCUAAUACCGGAUGAUAUUUUGAACCGCAUGGUUCAAAAGUGAAAGACGGUCUUGCUGUCACUUAUAGAUGGAUCCGCGCUGCAUUAGCUAGUUGGUAAGGUAACGGCUUACCAAGGCAACGAUGCAUAGCCGACCCGAGAGGGUGAUCGGCCACACUGGAACUGAGACACGGUCCAGACUCCUACGGGAGGCAGCAGUAGGGAAUCUUCCGCAAUGGGCGAAGGCCUGACGGAGCAACGCCGCGUGAGUGAUGAAGGUCUUCGGAUCGUAAAACUCUGUUAUUAGGGAAGAACAUAUGUGUAAGUAACUGUGCACAUCUUGACGGUACCUAAUCAGAAAGCCACGGCUAACUACGUG